UUACCCGUCUUGAUACACGGACCAAGGAGUCUAACAUGCGCGCGAGUCGUUGGGUCGGACACGCUCCGCUAAACCCAUAGGCGCAAUGAAAGUGAAGGUCGCCCUCGCGGGACCGAGGGAGGACGGAGGCGUCUCUCGGCGCCUCCAGNNCUCCCGGGGCGUCUGAUUCCUCUUUUUGAGGGAAGGACUCCCCCGAGUGUACAACUCGGUGCCCCAUAGAUGGAGAACUAUAA
rnacentral:rRNA from 1 species